GACGAACGCUGGCGGUGUGCUUAACACAUGCAAGUCGAACGGUAAGGCCCUUUCGGGGGUACACGAGUGGCGAACGGGUGAGUAACACGUGAGUAACCUGCCCUCAUCUCUGGGAUAACAGUCGGAAACGGUUGCUAAUACUGGAUAUGAGCCUGCAAGGCAUCUUGUGGGUUGGAAAGAUUUUUUGGUUGGGGAUGGACUCGCGGCCUAUCAGCUUGUUGGUGAGGUAGUGGCUCACCAAGGCUUUGACGGGUAGCCGGCCUGAGAGGGCGACCGGCCACAUUGGGACUGAGAUACGGCCCAAACUCCUACGGGAGGCAGCAGUGGGGAAUAUUGCACAAUGGACGGUAGUCUGAUGCAGCAACGCCGCGGGCGGGAUGACGGCCUUCGGGUUGUAAACCGCUUUCAAUUGUGACGAAGCUUUUUGUGACGGUAGCAGUAGAAGAAGCACCGGCUAACUACGUG
rnacentral:rRNA from 1 species